rnacentral:rRNA from 1 species
UACGGAGGGGACUAGCGUUGUUCGGAAUUAGUGGGCGUAAAGCGCACGUAGGCGGAUUUGUAAGUCAGGGGUGAAAUCCCGGGGCUCAACCUCGGAACUGCCUUUGAUACUGCAAAUCUCGAGUCCGGAAGAGGUGAGUGGAAUUCCUAGUGUAGAGGUGAAAUUCGUAGAUAUUGGGAAGAACACCGGUGGCGAAGGCGGGUCUCUGGGCCGAUACUGACGCUGAGGAGCGAAAGCGUGGGGAGCAAACAGG